GUAUUUAAAAUUCGGUGUAUAUAGUGCAGUAUUGAAUAAACUUCACAACCAACAGUCACAAUAAUGUCAUGUGGGAACAAUAGAUUACUAGAGUAAGCAGGGGGGCACAAAUCAGAUACGAGACAACAAACACAACGGCCAUGUAUGUUAAACAGGAAGUUAUUUGACUUGUAAGAUAUGCGCUAGGAAUAGGUAUUAGUGCAAUGGGGCAACUUCGAGUUCUCAGUUUAUUGGUUUAUUUUGUAAUGUUCAUACAUGUUUACAGUACAGUCAUCAUCGAGAAUCCAGUACCCUGUAAUGGUCCAUUUAACAUAACUAUUCAGUUUAAUACUAGUGUUUCUACAUUUGAAUGGUACAGAGAUGAUAUUUUCUUUUAUGUUUCUGAAAUCAGUUUAUCGGAUACAUAUACUGUACCGUUUCCUCCUGAUCCACCAACCAUUCCUGAUGACCAAAACGAAGGUUUUCCGGUAAAAAUUGGAUUACUUAAGAUAUGGAUUUUAAUUGAGUAUUUAAUAAAACUUCAAUUUUACAACGUUGUCCGUUUUUUAUA